GACGAACGCUGGCGGCGUGCCUAAUACAUGCAAGUAGAACGCUGAAGGAGGAGCUUGCUUCUCUGGAUGAGUUGCGAACGGGUGAGUAACGCGUAGGUAACCUGCCUGGUAGCGGGGGAUAACUAUUGGAAACGAUAGCUAAUACCGCAUAAGAGUAGAUGUCGCAUGACAUUUGCUUAAAAGGUGCAAUUGCAUCACUACCAGAUGGACCUGCGUUGUAUUAGCUAGUUGGUGAGGUAACGGCUCACCAAGGCAACGAUACAUAGCCGACCUGAGAGGGUGAUCGGCCACACUGGGACUGAGACACGGCCCAGACUCCUACGGGAGGCAGCAGUAGGGAAUCUUCGGCAAUGGACGGAAGUCUGACCGAGCAACGCCGCGUGAGUGAAGAAGGUUUCCGGAUCGUAAAGCUCUGUUGUAAGAGAAGAACGAGUGUGAGAGUGGAAAGUUCACACUGUGACGGUAUCUUACCAGAAAGGGACGGCUAACUACGUG
rnacentral:rRNA from 1 species